GACGAGCGCUGGCGGCGUGCUUAACACAUGCAAGUCGAACGGAAAGGCCCUGCUUUUGUGGGGUGCUCGAGUGGCGAACGGGUGAGUAACACGUGAGUAACCUGCCCUUGACUUUGGGAUAACUUCAGGAAACUGGGGCUAAUACCGGAUAGGAGCUCCUGCUGCAUGGUGGGGGUUGGAAAGUUUCGGCGGUUGGGGAUGGACUCGCGGCUUAUCAGCUUGUUGGUGGGGUAGUGGCUUACCAAGGCUUUGACGGGUAGCCGGCCUGAGAGGGUGACCGGCCACAUUGGGACUGAGAUACGGCCCAGACUCCUACGGGAGGCAGCAGUGGGGAAUAUUGCACAAUGGGCGGAAGCCUGAUGCAGCAACGCCGCGUGCGGGAUGACGGCCUUCGGGUUGUAAACCGCUUUCGCCUGUGACGAAGCGUGAGUGACGGUAAUGGGUAAAGAAGCACCGGCUAACUACGUGCCAGCAGCCGCGGUGAUACGUAGGGUGCGAGCGUUGUCCGGAUUUAUUGGGCGUAAAGGGCUCGUAGGUGGUUGAUCGCGUCGGAAGUGUAAUCUUGGGGCUUAACCCUGAGCGUGCUUUCGAUACGGGUUGACUUGUGGAAGGUAGGGGAGAAUGGAAUUCCUGGUGGAGCGGUGGAAUGCGCAGAUAUCAGGAGGAACACCAGUGGCGAAGGCGGUUCUCUGGGCUUUUCCUGACGCUGAGGAGCGAAAGCGUGGGGAGCGAACAGGCUUAGAUACCCUGGUAGUCCACGCUGUAAACGGUGGGUACUAGGUGUGGGGUCCAUUCCACGGGUUCCGUGCCGUAGCUAACGCUUUAAGUACCCCGCCUGGGGAGUACGGCCGCAAGGCUAAAACUCAAAGGAAUUGACGGGGCCCCGCACAAGCGGCGGAGCAUGCGGAUUAAUUCGAUGCAACGCGUAGAACCUUACCUGGGUUUGACAUGGAUCGGGAGCGCUCAGAGAUGGGUGUGCCUCUUUUGGGGUCGGUUCACAGGUGGUGCAUGGCUGUCGUCAGCUCGUGUCGUGAGAUGUUGGGUUAAGUCCCGCAACGAGCGCAACCCUUGUUCACUGUUGCCAGCACGUUAUGGUGGGGACUCAGUGGAGACCGCCGGGGUCAACUCGGAGGAAGGUGGGGAUGACGUCAAGUCAUCAUGCCCCUUAUGUCCAGGGCUUCACGCAUGCUACAAUGGCUGGUACAGAGAGUGGCGAGCCUGUGAGGGUGAGCGAAUCUCGGAAAGCCGGUCUCGGUUCGGAUUGGGGUCUGCAACUCGACCUCAUGAAGUCGGAGUCGCUAGUAAUCGCAGAUCAGCAACGCUGCGGUGAAUACGUUCCCGGGGCU
rnacentral:rRNA from 1 species